rnacentral:ncRNA from 2 species
GACAGGAUGAUCGGCGGUGGUUUCCCGCAAGGGGAUCAAAAGGGAACGCGGUGCGUGCACUCCAGCACAAUGCCGCGGCUGCCCCCGCAACUGUAAGCGGCGAGCCUGCGACCUAAGUCCACUGGGAGCUUGCGUGCUUCUGGGAAGGUGGUCGACGGCGAUGACCCGUGAGCCAGGAGACCUGCCACCGCAGGAAGUCACGC